UACAGAGGGGGCAAGCGUUGUUCGGAAUUACUGGGCGUAAAGGGCGCGUAGGCGGCCUUCUAAGUCGAACGUGAAAUCCCCGGGCUCAACCCGGGAACUGCGUCCGAGACUGAAAGGCUUGAAUCCGGGAGAGGGAUGUGGAAUUCCAGGUGUAGCGGUGAAAUGCGUAGAUAUCUGGAGGAACAUCGGUGGCGAAGGCGGCAUCCUGGACCGGUAUUGACGCUGAGGCGCGAAAGCUAGGGUAGCAAACGGG
rnacentral:rRNA from 1 species